GACGAACGCUGGCGGCGUGGAUUAGGCAUGCAAGUCGAACGGUAUCAUCCUUUCGGGGGUGAGAGAGUGGCGAACUGGUGAGUAACACGUAGGUUAUCUACCCUCAAGACGGGGACAACCCAGGGAAACUUGGGCUAAUACCGGAUGUGAGCAACUUUUAGUUGUUUGAAAGGUGGCGUAAGCUGUCGCUUGGGGAUGAGCCUGCGUCCAAUUAGUUAGUUGGUGAGGUAACGGCUCACCUAGGCAAUGAUAGGUAGGCGGCCUUAACGGGUGGUCGCCCACACUGGGAUUGAGAUACGGCCCAGACUCCUACGGGAGGCAGCAGUCGAGAAUAGUCUACAAUGGUCGGAAGACUGAUAGUGCGACGCCGCGUGAACGAUGAAUCCCUUCGGGGUGUAAAGUUCUUUUAUAUGUGAGCAGUGCUUCUUAUAUUAACAGUAUGGGGAGAGAGAUAUUAGCAUAUGAAUAAGCAACGGCUAACUCCGUGCCAGCAGCCGCGGUAAAACGU
rnacentral:rRNA from 1 species